rnacentral:tRNA from 1 species
UAGAUUGAAGCCAGUCGUAUAGGGUAUUUAGCUGUUAACUAAAUCUUCGUGGGGUUGGAACCCAUCAAUCUAG